rnacentral:ribozyme from 1 species
UUCCAAUCUUCUCCUUUCCUUUCUCGAUUCUUAAAGAUGGGCACAAUCUCUUUCUAUUUCUUUAUUUUAUGUGCCCAUCUUAAGAAAAAGAGAAAGGAGAGAAAUUGGUAAAGGAAUGAUUGCAUCAGGAGAUCACGAGUAUUCUAUUUUUCUUUCAUUUGUUAUCAAACAAAUGUUAUUAAGAAAGAAAAAUAGAC